AGAGUUUGAUCAUGGCUCAGAACGAACGCUGGCGGCGUGCUUAACACAUGCAAAGUCGAACGCGAAAAGGGACUUCGGGUCCUGAGUAAAGUGGCGCACGGGUGAGUAACGCGUGGAUAAUCUACCCAAUGAUCUGGGAUAACAUCUCGAAAGGGGUGCUAAUACYGGAUAAGACCACGGAGUCUCUGGAUUCUGCGGUAAAAGGUGGGGACCUUCGGGCCUACCGUCAUCGGAUGAGUCCGCGUACCAUUAGCUAGUUGGUGGGGUAAUGGCCUACCAAGGCUACGAUGGUUAGCUGGUCUGAGAGGAUGAUCAGCCACACUGGAACUGAGACACGGUCCAGACUCCUACGGGAGGCAGCAGUGGGGAAUUUUGCGCAAUGGGGGAAACCCUGACGCAGCAACGCCGCGUGAGUGAUGAAGGCCUUUGGGUCGUAAAACUCUGUCAGCAGGAAAGAAGUUAUAUAUGGUUAAUACCCAUAUAUAUUGACGGUACCUGCAAAGGAAGCACCGGCUAACUCMGUGCCAGCAGCCGCGGUAAUA
rnacentral:rRNA from 1 species